AAGUCCAGUAUAAGUUCAAUGUUUCUGUUAAUUUUCUGUCUUGGUGAUCUGUCUAGUGCUCUGAGUAAGGUGUUAAAAUCCCUAAUAUUAUUGUAUUGCUGUCAAAUUCUUUCUUUAGGUCUAGUAGUAUUUGUUUUGGGUGCUCCAAAGUUGGGUGCAUAUAUAUUUAGAAUUGUUAUAUUCUCUUGCUGACAACUGUUAAUCUUCUGGCUCUCAAAUGGUCCCUUUAUCAUUAUAUAAUGACCUUCUUUGUCUUUUACUACCUUUUUUGAUUUAAAGUCUAUUUUAUCUGAUAUAAAUAUAUCUAUGUCUGCUUGUUUUUGGUUUUUGUUUGCAUGGAAUAUCUUUUUCCAUCUCUUUGCAAUCAAUGUAUGUGUCUUUACAGGUGAGUUUCUUAUAGGCAGCAUAUAGUUGGAUAAUGUUUUUAAUCAAUUCUGCCCAAUCUGCAUUUUUUAAGUGGGGGAUUUAGUCCAUUUACAUUCAAGGUUAAUAUUGAUACAUGAGUCUUUAUUCCUGUCAUAUUAUUGAUUGUUUUCAAGCUGUUUUAUAAAUUCUUUGUUUCUUUAUUUUUCUUUUUCUGUCAUUGUGGUUUGAUGAAAUUCUGUUGCAUUGACAUUUGAUUCCUUUCUCUUCCUGCUUUGUGUGAUUGCUUUGUAUAAACACACGAAGUGAGUUUUAUAUUUACCUGUGUUUUUGUGAUGGUGAAUAUUGAGAUUUCAUUUCCAUGUUUAAGACCACUUUGAGCAUUUCCUGUUGUGCUGAUUUAGUGUUGACAAAUUCACUCAGCAUUUGCUUGUCUGGGAAGAACUUUCCUCUUCAUUUAUGAAGCUUAUUCUGGCAGGAUACAAAAUUUUUGGCUGACAAAUAACAUUUUAAGCAUAUAGAAAAUAUAUCAAGUAAUGUAAUAAACCUGUCACCCAGCCUCCACAGGUACUAAUCAUGUGCCAUUUUUGUUUCAUCUAUAUUUCAACCCACUCCUCACGCCCCCAACUGUAUUAUUAUUUGGGGGUUUUUUUGUGAAACAAUGUAUAUACAUUAAAAAGUAGAAUCUUAACUGUAUCCUUUUGAGAAAACAAUGUACCCACAUAAACUUCCUCCUUCUAAGAAUAAAAUUCCCAGCCGGGUAUGAUGGCUUACGCCUGUAACCCCAGCACUUUGAGAGGCCGAGGCAGGCGGAUCACCUGAGGUCAGGAAUUCGAGACUAGCCUGGCCAACAUGAUGAAACCCUGUUGCCACUAAAAAUACAAAAGUUAGCCUGGUGUGGUGGUGCCUGCCUGUAGCUCACCUACCUGGGAGGCUGAGGCAGGAGAAUCGCUGGAACCCAGGAGGUGGGGGCUGCAGUGAGCUGAGAUCAUGCCACUGCACUCCAGCCUGGGUGACAGAGUGAGACUCUGUCUCAAAAACAG
rnacentral:lncRNA from 1 species